rnacentral:rRNA from 1 species
UAGGGAAUCUUCCGCAAUGGACGAAAGUCUGACGGAGCAACGCCGCGUGAGUGAAGAAGGAUUUCGGUUCGUAAAACUCUGUUGUUAGGGAAGAAAAAAUGUAUAGUAACUAUAUACAAAAGAGACGGUACCUAACCAGAAAGCCACGGCUAACUACGUGCCAGCAGCCGCGGUAAUACGUAGGUGGCAAGCGUUGUCCGGAAUUAUUGGGCGUAAAGCGCGCGCAGGUGGUUUAGAAAGUCUGAUGUGAAAGCCCACGGCUCAACCGUGGAGGGUCAUUGGAAACUAAUAAACUUGAGUGCAGGAGAGAAAAGUGGAAUUCCUAGUGUAGCGAUGAAAUGCGUAGAGAUUAGGAGGAACACCGGUGGCGAAAGCGGCUUUUUGGCCUGCAACUGACACUGAGGCGCGAAAGCGUGGGGAGCAAACAGG